AGAGUUUGAUCCUGGCUCAGGAUGAACGCUGGCGGCGUGCCUAACACAUGCAAGUCGAGCGGGAGAUACUGGAACGAAAUUUCGAUCGAGUGAAGGUAUCAAGAGCGGCGGACGGGUGAGUAACGCGUAGGCAACCUGCCCCAUACAGAGGGAUAGCCUCGGGAAACCGGGAUUAAAACCUCAUAAUGCGAGAGAUUCACAUGGACCUCUCGCCAAAGAUUUAUCGGUAUGGGAUGGGCCUGCGUCUGAUUAGCUAGUUGGUGGGGUAACGGCCUACCAAGGCGACGAUCAGUAGCCGACCUGAGAGGGUAAUCGGCCACAUUGGAACUGAGACACGGUCCAAACUCCUACGGGAGGCAGCAGUGGGGAAUAUUGCACAAUGGGCGAAAGCCUGAUGCAGCAACGCCGCGUGAGCGAUGAAGGCCUUUGGGUCGUAAAGCUCUGUCCUUGGGGAAGAAAAAAAUGACGGUACCCUUGGAGGAAGCCCCGGCUAACUACGUGCCAGCAGCCGCGGUAAUACGUAGGGGGCAAGCGUUAUCCGGAAUUAUUGGGCGUAAAGAGUGCGUAGGUGGUUUCAUAAGCGCGAGGUGAAAGGCAAUGGCUCAACUAUUGUAAGCCUUGCGAACUGUGAGACUUGAGUGCAGGAGAGGAAAGUGGAAUUCCUAGUGUAGCGGUGAAAUGCGUAGAUAUUAGGAGGAACACCAGUGGCGAAGGCGACUUUCUGGACUGUAACUGACACUGAGGCACGAAAGCGUGGGGAGCAAACAGGAUUAGAUACCCUGGUAGUCCACGCCGUAAACGAUGAGCACUAGGUGUCGGGGCCGCAAGGUUUCGGUGCCGCAGUUAACGCAUUAAGUGCUCCGCCUGGGGAGUACGCACGCAAGUGUGAAACUCAAAUGAAUUGACGG
rnacentral:rRNA from 1 species